AUGCGUGAUAUUUUACAAGUGCCCACAAAACCCUCCUCCUCCCUCAAACCCACGCGAAGCCCUCCUCUGCCUAACCCACCGCCGAAACCCUAGCUCCUCCCCAAACUCAUCUCCAUGAAAACUCAUCUCCGCCAAAACUCAUCUCCAUGAAAAACCUAGCCGCCAAAACCCAUCGCUCGCACCUAGCCUCCUCCACCACAUCUCCACGCCGGCUGGGACCUUGCCUCCUCCGCCACUCCUUCGCACCGCCAACGACCUAGCUUCCUCUGCUACUCCUCCACGAUGCCUACGACCUAGCCUCCGCGGCUUAAAAUCCGAGGUGAUCUUCCUCUUUUUGAUGCCAACUUAAACAUUGGAACAUAGCUACCCAAUUUUGUUGCUGGAAAGAUAAUUCAUUUGGAUAUGUCAAUUUCUUUGCUUUUCUAUUUGAAUUUUUGGUCACUCCAUCACAUUGAGUUAUGCGAGGCAAAUAACUUGUGUUGGUAAAAUGGAGUUAUCGGUCUACUUCAUGGAUCAACUCACAGCAGACGAAAUAGUUUUCCAUAAGUCCUACUUCAAGUGCAAUAAUUACAAAGGAACCCUCACGGUAUCGUCGUUCGCCUCUGUUUGUGUUCUCCCUUUUGGAAUUUUAUGUUGUUAUUUGAACUUUACUUUGUAAUAAUCUCUUUUCAUUGGAAGUAGCGAGUUUGAGUAAGAUGUGUCAUCUGAUGCAUUCCAAAUAACUUGGAACGUCGAGAUUUCUCGUAAAUGAUCGAUGUUGUAGAUUUGAUAUUCGAGCUAGUUCUAUAGAGUAACUAAAUAUUCUAUUUUUAGAUCAUGAUAAAAGUAGAAAUUUUGUCUCCGUAUCUUGUUACUCGUGUUAUGCAAUCCAAUAGUUGACUCCUUUGUAAAUUUGUUGCUAAAAAAAAUGCAAUUUUGUCUAUAGUCUUUCUUUGUGUUGGAAACUUAGUAGGACUAAAUUGCUUUAGGUAGUAUCCUCAGAAAAAUAUAUAUCAAGAUUGAGUAAAUCUAGAAUGAUUCAUUGCUUGAUAACAUAUAGUGAGCAAGAUUACUAUUCAAGUGAGAGCAAAUUGUAGAGUGCCUGGGCUUUACAUUUUUUACAUCAGGAUUCUCAAAAUGAUGGCAAUAUGAAUCAAUGCAAGUUAUGUAUCCUUGCUUAAUUUAGAACUCCAAUGACAAAAGAAGUGUUGUUCCUCAUAACCUAUUUCUAGUUUAUGCUACUAAUAAGAAAUUGUAGCUCAAUAGGAUCAUCUGCAACCACUUCAACGUUGAGGUGAUGAUGAUGAUGGGAGGCUAUACUAUUUUGGCUCUAUUGGAUUUCAACUUUCUUAAUUCUGAUGGAAUAUUGCUAGAUAUUUUGAAUGGUAAAUGGAGAUAUUCAGAAACUCCAACUAAAUAGCUCGGAUAUGGAUGAUUAUAGGAGCAACAACUACAUGCUAUGUGACACUGCAUCCAAACUUCAAGGGUGUGAUUGGAAAGUAUUUCGACGAAGAACUAUUAAGAAGACUUUGAGAUUUAAACAAGAAGAUGGUUAAAGUCAAUUAGUAAAGAACAUUCAAGUCAAGUGGAUAAGUAGCAUUUAUCAAGAUUCUUUAAGUUCAUGCAAUAAGAUAUAGUUGAUAGGAGUAGUUUUGAGUGUUUCCUAAUUAAAAUUUCUUUGUAUGCAAGUAAUUAUAUUUGUUAUAGAUGUGUAAGGAUGAUAAUUUUUAUAUUGAUAUUAGUUGUUUAUUUAAUAAUAUGUUGUUGAUUGAAAUA